AAGUACUGUGUGGAACAGAGGGCUUUUCUUGAUGAGAUGAUCAGGAAAAGCGAAGAAGAGAAACUUCGACUGGCUGAGAUUUACAGACAGCGGAAGGAGGCCCAUGAUGCUGAGAGGGAGAGAAAGAAAGAAAGAAAGGACUCGUACGGCCAAGGCAGCAGAAGAAGCUGGUGAUGGAAAAGGAAAAUAUCCACGUUGGACUCAAUAGAUUUAUUUUAUUGUUUCUUAAUUUCUGCCAUCUAAAACAAAUGACCCAAAGGCCAAAAGAAAAUUUGUCUAACAUAUUGAACUACACAAAGAAAUUAUCUAACAUCUAAUCCGAUCCCUAAAACUAAGACAAAAUCAUCUAAUCCUAUC
rnacentral:lncRNA from 1 species